AUUGAACGCUGGCGGCAGGCCUAACACAUGCAAGUAGAACGAGUGGCGGACGGGUGAGUAAUGUCUGGGAAACUGCCUGAUGGAGGGGGAUCACUACUGGAAACGGUAGCUAAUACCGCAUACCAUCAGAUGUGCCCAGUUGGGAUUAGCUUGUUGGUGGGGUAACGGCUCACCAAGGCGACGAUCCCUAGCUGGUCUGAGAGGAUGACCAGCGACACUGGAACGGAGACACGGACCAGACUCCUACGGUAGGCAGCAGUGGGGAAUAUUGCACAAUGGGCGAAAGCCUGAUGCAGCCAGUCCGCGUGUAUGAAGAAGGCCUUCGGGGUGUAAAGUACUUUCAGCGGGUAGGCGUUAGCCGCAGAAGAAGCACCGGCUAACUCCGUGCCAGCAGCCGCGGUAAUAC
rnacentral:rRNA from 1 species